CGCCUCCGCACCUCUCUACUCGACAAAAUAUGAAGGUACCUCGUUCCCCCUUAAGGUUUGAUUUUGUUGUAUGAUUUGUGAGUAUCCAGUUUUCUUAUCUGAUCCACUUUCUGAUUGUUGUAAGUGCAACCUUAAUUUAUUGUCUACAAGCUUUAACAGGACCUUGGCAUAGAUUGAUUGGUCUGUUUGGUCGAUGAGAGCACCGCAACAAGCUUCUCUUAUUGUUUUGUUUGCAGCAACAACAUUAGUCCCGCUGUGCAUAUAUCAGCCCUUUCAUUUGGGGUGCCCUUUCCAUGACCCCUUUCAGGACUUCGUAACAAUGAUACGGUAAUAAUUCACCGCCAAAUUUGUGUGAGAAAUGUGAGACCUAGGUGCGAUCAGCUUGUUAUCUAUACGUUUACUGAUGCUUUAAGGUAGCUGAGAUGGUUCAAUGGAUUGUAAUAUACACUAUUCAUAUUUUCUUUCACCCUUUUACAUAAUAUUUACAGUAAUUCUUGCUUGUCUUUGCAGAAAAGGCACGCACUACAAUUUCAAUCGUUAUGCAUGAACAAACCUGAAUGUGACAUGUUUUCUGAAAUGUUGUCUUUUGAAGCUUUAAUGUUUUUGUCUUACCAGAAUUUGAAUUAUCAUGUCAACCAGUUGACUUGUCAGAGAAAGUAAAGUAAUUGGCCCUUGCA